rnacentral:rRNA from 1 species
UACAGAGGUCCCGAGCGUUGUUCGGAUUCAUUGGGCGUAAAGGGUGCGUAGGCGGUUUGCUAAGUUUGAUGUGAAAGCCCGGGGCUUAACCCUGGAAUGGCAUUGAAUACUGGCGAACUAGAGUACUGGAGAGGAAACUGGAAUUUUACGGUGUAGCAGUGAAAUGCGUAGAGAUCGUAAGGAAGACCAGUGGCGAAGGCGAGUUUUCCUGGACAGUUACUGACGCUGAGGCACGAAAGCGUGGGUAGCAAAACAGGA